ensembl:ncRNA F35G2.7 ncRNA
CUACAAACAUUGGAGGUCAAUGGACUAGCGGGCUCUACUGUGUGAGCCACUUGAAAUUUUCAAAGCGCAUUUCGUUUCCGCGAAUUUCGGAAUGUUUACCCACACUUUUGAAACAUGAUGUGAUGGUCAAACGGUGGCAAGGAGAUGCGA